rnacentral:lncRNA from 10 species
GAACACCUUCCCCGUACCAGCAGCUGGAGGAUUUGUUUGGUAGCACCUGGGGGAUGGCUCUGUCCCGGGCGCACUUAGGCGGGCUGUGCGGAGCGCUUUACCUUCCACAGUGUCCGGCACACGCAUCCUUUUCGACAUCAUCACUUGACCUGCUGCAAUAGACAAGUCUUGCUGUGUUGCCCAGGCCGGAGUGCAGUGGUGCAAUCUCUGCUCAGUGCAACCUCUGCCUCCUGGGUUCAAGUGAUCAUUCUGCCUCAGGCUCCUGACUAAUUGGGAUUACAGGCAUGCACCACCACACCAGCUAAUGUUUGUAUUUUCAGUGGAGACGGGGUUUUACCAUGUUGGCCAGGCUGGUCUCAAACUCCUGACCUCAGGUGAUUCGCCUGCCUCGGCCUCCCAAAGUGCUGGGUUUACAGGCGUGAGCCACCGCCCGGCCUCAUGUCAUCAAAAGAAGAGAAAACAGAGGCACAAGAGAAGAUGACCACAGAAGACAGAGGCAGAGGCUGGGGUUAUGCUACCACAAACCGGAGAAUGCCAAGGAUUGCUGGCAACCACCAGGAGCCUGGGGAGAGGCGUGGAACCCCUCCUCCCUCAGAGGCCCCAGAAGGAUCCAACCCUGCUAAUACCUUGAUUUUAGACUUCCCACCCCCAGAACUGUGAGAAAAUAAAUUUCUAGCUGCUUUAAGCC